GGGGGAACAAACAAAAAUUGUUCCAGGGAUUGUCUAAUUUUUAAAAAGUACAUUGUAUUUGCCAAUAUCACAGAUUUUAGUUUUGGAAGUUUGUUUGCCUCGUGGUUCCCUUAAAAGAGCUGAAUUCAUAUAGAUAAAUUACAUGUCUUCAGUGUUAACCUUCCAUAACCUUAUAUUGCCUUAAAGUAUUAACCAUGUAUUUAAAUUACCACGAUUCUCACAGUAAUACAGACAUGCAUAUAUAAAUAAAAAUUUUAAAUGGCAUAAUAGUUUCCUCGUAAACAAUUUCAAUCUGACAAGAUCUCGGGUAAUCACACUUGGGGGAUGUUACAGGUUGAGAAACUUGUUAAUUCGAUACGAGAUCAGUGUAAAUCUCGGCAAUGAUUGCGGAUCCACGGUACCGCGAUGCCAGACUUUGGGUGAGACGAGCUAUUUUAUCGUGACAGUUGGGUACCUGGUACCGCGGCCGAGGCACUUUGGGACAGAGGAUCAUUUCGCUGAACAAACAGAAUAUUAGCUUUCAGGUUCAAUAUGUUUAUUUAUCUACAAGAAACAAUGACUGAGACUGUGAUCACUUGUUACAAUGCAGCGUGCAAGAGGCACGAUCGACUAGUGCAAACACUCGGCGGUCAAAGGUUACGUUCAAGAUAAUUUUGACUUCGGAUCCAAAAUUACCAUACAAAGUGCUAAGUGUACCUGAACAAACCCC